UUGUGUUUGAAGGUCGGGUUGGUAGUAUCUGGACCGGAGAUAUAGCUAUCGAUGACGUCACAAUGUACCACGGGUAUUGUGCAGGUUCACCGCGAUGUGAUUUUGAGGAUCCGUUCCUAUGCGGUUACACACAGGACCCUACCGAUGAUCUAGAUUGGAUCUAUUGGUCUGGAGCAACACCUACACGAAACACCGGUCCAUCAUAUGACGUCACCUAUGGAACGCUGGCAGGUCAUUAUCUGUAUGUGGGUAGUGAGGGGUACCAAGGUGACGCAGCCCGGUUGAUUUCACCUCACGUCACAUCCGAUACGCCUGAUGAAGUUCACUGCUGGAGGUACUAUUAUCACAUGUGGGGUCAAG